rnacentral:tRNA from 1 species
GGUCGCGAUCAGCCGAGCAGGGUGAUCGGUCCGCCUGAAAAGCGGAAGGUCGGCAGUUCGAGCUUGCCCCUGACCACCA